rnacentral:rRNA from 1 species
GAGCGAAAGCUUGACCGAGCGACGCCGCGUGCGGGAUGAAGGCCUUCGGGUUGUAAACCGCUUUCGUAGGGGAGGAAAUUUCGGUGGGAUCACUCAUCGAUUUGACCUAGCCUAGGAAGAAGGACGGGCUAAGUUCGUGCCAGCAGCCGCGGUAAUACGAACCGUCCAAACGUUAUUCGGAAUUACUGGGCGUAAAGGGUGCGUAGGCGGCCCGGGAAGUUGGGUGUGAAAGCCCUCGGCUCAACCGAGGAACAGCGCCCAAAAAUGCCGGGCUCGAGGGAGAUAGAGGUGGGCGGAACAUAGGCUGGAGCGGUGAAAUGCGUUGAUAUCCUAAGGAACACCGGUGGCGAAAGCGGCUCACUGGGUCUCU